CAUCCCCUCGUUUAUUGUGGCCCUUCAUUUCCUUCUGGCGAGGGACUCCCUCUGCUCCUACAGCGCUUACCCUUCAUGCUUCUGCCCGUGGCGUGGGGAGGGGGACGUUUUGCACAGAUAUCAAAGGGCAGAGGACGGUCUGCGCUGUGGGGUGGGCACAGAUGGGACGAGCUGGCCAGGCAGCAGUUCAGAGCACCCCAAGUCCAGCAGCGCUUCCCCCCACUGAAGAACACCCCCCAGAAGGGGGAGAAAGCGCAGCCAGGAAAAAUCUCCAGCAAGGAGACAAGCAAAGAGAUUGCUUCCCGCCUUCCUCAAGCAGAGAAUGGGAGGACAGUGGCCCCACCAGCAGAGAUGGCAGUGCCCACUGUCCAGUCACUACGGGCAAGACAGGUCCUGGGAACCUUGGAGUCCUACAAGGUGUGCCGGGAAGGAUGGAGGAAGAAGGUGGAGGAAAACAGGCUCCUUCCUGCCAGACCCAAGGAGCGCCUCUGCUUUGUGAAGAAGAUGGAGCUCCAGGAGGCCAGAGGAAAACACAAGAACAUGUGAGAGCACACCACGGGCUCACAGUUCAGCCAAUUCCUACCGCGCCCACUCACACCGUGGCAAUAAACAACGAAGCCCCAGGAUUGACAGCAGUGGGGCUGAGAGGAG
ensembl:lncRNA